rnacentral:rRNA from 1 species
UGGGGAAUAUUGGGCAAUGGAGGCAACUCUGACCCAGCAACGCCGCGUGAAUGAAGAAGGUCUUCGGAUUGUAAAGUUCUUUAGUGAGGGACGAAUAAAUGACGGUACCUCGAGAAUAAGCCACGGCUAACUACGUGCCAGCAGCCGCGGUAAUACGUAGGUGACGAGCGUUAUCCGGGUUUACUGGGUGUAAAGGGCGCGUAGGCGGGGAUACAAGUCAGGUGUGAAAUCUAUGGGCUUAAUCCAUAAACUGCACUUGAAACUGUAUCUCUUGAGUGUCGGAGAGGUAGACGGAAUUCCUAGUGUAGCGGUGAAAUGCGUAGAUAUUAGGAGGAACACCAGUGGCGAAGGCGGUCUACUGGACGAUAACUGACGCUGAGGCGCGAAAGCGUGGGGAGCAAACAGGAUUAGAUUACCCUGGUAGU